rnacentral:RNase_P_RNA from 1 species
GGAGCCGAACGGACGGUCGCGGAGAGAGCGUCGCAAGGCGUUCUUUCGAGGAAAGUCCGGACUCCGCAGGAUACGAUGGCGGGUAACGCCCGCCGAUCGCGAGAUCAGGGAAUAGCGCAACAGAAAGCAAACCGCCUGCGACGGUUUCGACCGUCGUCGGUAAGGGUGAAACGGCGAGGUAAGAGCUCACCGGCGGCUCGGGCAACCGGCCGGCCAGGCAAGCCCCAUCGGGAGCAAGGUUAAACAGCGUCGCGUUCGACUUUCGAGUCGAGCGGGGGGCGAUCCGUCCUCAAGACGCGGGUAAACCGCGAAGAACGGUUCGGCGACGAAUCCGUCAAGAUAAAUGACCGUCCCUCUUUCGAGAGGACAGAAUCCGGCUUAUGUUCGACUCCUCUU